UCCAGGCGCGGCCCUCCGCUGGGCCGCUGGGCCCGGGAGGCCCCUUCCUCGGGCCUCAGAGUGCUUUCGCUCCAUCCGUCGAGGGGCAGUGCGGCCCCCACAGGCCGGGGACUGGUGCAGCCCAGCCAGCCGGGCCCAAGGCCGGCCCAGUCGGCCCAGGUCAGCGCCCAGCUCCUCCCGCGCUGUGGGCCCCCGGCCGCCCCCGGAGGAGGACACGGCGGGGACGCGUCCGCGGAGCCGGCCCGGCUCUCCAGAGAUGAAAACUGCUAAAGAGAACGUCAAGUCUUAGGAUCUCCUGCAGUGACCACAGAACACUGGUUCCCCCGGGUCACGUGGGCCUCGAUUUCCCCACCUGCGAAAUGACCCUGUCUAAGGGCUCUUCCAGAAAAGGAGUGAGCAGCCCCCGCUCCCUCCCUGCAGCAACCCCACAACUGUGCGUCCACUGGGGCGGCCCACGGGCAGGGCGGGUACGGCAGGGGCAGCUGCAGCAGCUGUAACAGCCACCGCACAGCAGUGAGGACGCAAUGACCAGAACCGCAACCGGUGCCUGAGGAGUGACUUUCAAACAUUUUGAGUGUGAUCUGAGCUGCAGUAGGAGAUUUUGCACAGCUGCUCAGUACGGACACACAUGCGAUGAGAUGAGUGUGAUAAAACAGCAGAGACUCUGACAGCGUGGCAUGCACUGGUAUUGUCUGUUCUUUUGAGAAAACAAGGUUGCAGCUCACUAAAUUAAUCUCUCCACCUCUCUUAUGCGUUCCACCUGGAAACCUUAAAACUCUGCAUUGGAAUAUUUCUGAACCCAGUUGUCCGAGGGGAACACUGAGGCACCCCAGGAGCAAAUUAGGCACGUCUGCACACUAUGGUGAUGGCCUGGAGAAAAGCACAAGUGGGUCUUCCAGAGAAUUCCAGAGCUCUAACACCUUUAGAGCCACCUGCCACAGCGCGCUCAAUUUGCAGGUGCGGAAACUAAAACCCAGAAUGUGUGACUUGCUCAAGAUCACUCAGUGAGUGAGCGACGGGGCUGGGAUAAAACGUAUCUCCGAUUCUGCCAGAAGAGUCUCACCUUCUCUUAACGUCAGGGGCACUGCUGCCUUGACCCAGGGGAGUGGGCCCGACACAGAGCUCCCCUGCUCUGCACUGGGGAAUGGCCCACCCUGGAGGAUGUGAACGGAUUUCUCAAGGAAGGUGGAUCUCUGACUGCCUGCGUGCAGGUGAGUCAAGGAUUCCAGCUGAGCUGGUCUUGUGGGCGGGGCGGGAGGCAUCUGCUUGCAGCAGGGCACCUGGGAGAGCCCACCCCGGAAGCUGGAGAGAGAUGGGGUGGCAGGCUGCACCUCUCGGCUGGCUGGGACCCUGACCUCUCAGUGUGAGGAGCCAUUCUGCAGACGGGGUAGGUGAUCCCCUUCCCCGUAGGAUACUUUCAGGAUGCCCGAGCCAAAGACAGGGCUGGGAGGUGCUGGGAGCUGCCCGGCGCUGGCCUCACAUCCCUGCCAAGGGCAGAGGGAAGGGAGCCCUAAGGGACAGAUGGGAGUCUGGCCCUCCUGCAGCUCGGCUGCCCUCAGGCGCCCGGGAGAAUCAGCCCGGGGAUGCUCCAGGCAGGCGCGCUUGCUCCCAGCGGCCGGGGCGGCCCAGACCCUGCAGGCUCGGUAGGCUUCUGCCCACGGCCCUCUGCCCCCAGCAGGCCGCUCAGCCUCGGGGAUGCCUUCCUGCUGCUCCGUCCUGGGGACACAGGCGCCGCUGUCCUUAGACUCAGCCCCGAGUCCCAGCCCCGGGGCGGGCACUGCAGCAGGUCCCCAGCUCACCUGUGGCCAGCUGCGAAAAGAGGAGGCCGAGAGUCAGCAGUAGCAGGUAGAGGACCCUCAUGGUGGCGGCAGGUGGCCCGGAUCCCCGGGGAGGGCAGAGGCUCCUCGGAGGCGGAGCUGUCAGAGGCUUCCAGCGGCUGCAGUGUCACUGUAUUUAUAGGGCUAGAGGAUUGCACAAUCGCACAGACCGAUCUGAAGGGUGGUGUCGCAAUCCCCAGAGUGAAAUUCUAAGAAAUAACCCUUCGCGGCAAGCCCUGAGUCAGCCGGGAGUCACGUGGACACACUUCUCUCUGGCUGGCUGCAGCUGGACCCAGCUCUCGGCCUGCAGGCGUGGAGGCAGGCCUCCGGUUCUGUCUGGAGUCUCAGCUGGGCGGUCCAGCUGGCGUUCCCAGAGCAGGAGCUCCUGCUAGAACCCCUCUCGCCGGGAUGGCCCAGGGAGCCCCGAGAGGCGGCCCCGGGGAGGCACUGAGACUGCUGGCUGCCGGCUGCCAUCCGGUGUCGGGCCCUUUAGCUGACGAGACCCCAGACCUCACCCUCUUCCCUUAUAAAAGCCGAGCCCGUCCUUUUAACCUUUAGCGAUGGAAUUUUCAUCAGGCCCAAGGGUGACUAAUACUAGCCGUUUGAGCUUCUGUUUUUUUUUCAAAUUAAGAUAUCUCUGAAAUCCUUUUUAAUCUAUGGGCCUCUUUUAUCACUGAAAUUUUUUUUUUUUUAUCAAGACAAUUUUUUUAGAGCAGUUUUAAGUGCACAGCAAAAUUGAGGGGAAGGUACAGAGAGGUCCCAUACACCCCCCACCCCAUCCACACACAGACUCCCCCGCUAUCUACAGCCCUCACCAGACGGUACAUGCGUUACAGCAGUGAACCUCCACUGACACGUCAUUGUCACCCAAAGUCUGGAGUUGACAUUCGGGCUCACUCUUGGUGUUAUACAUCCUAUGGGUUUGGACAGAUGCAUAGUGGCAUGUGGCCAUCAGUAUAGCAUCGUACAGAAUAGCUCCGCUGGCCUAAAAGUCCUCUGUGCUGUCUGUUCAUUCCUCCCCUCUGUGCUCAACUGCUGACAACCACUGGUCCUUUUACUGUCUCUACUGUUUUGCCUUUUCCAGAACAUCAUAUAGUUGGAAUCACACAGUAUGUAGCCUUUUCAGAUUGGCUUCCUUCACAUAAAAAUAUACAUUUAGGGCUUCCCUGGUGGUGCAGUGGUUGAGAGUCUGCCUGCCAAUGCAGGGGACACAGGUUCGAGCCCUGGUCUGGGAAGAUCCCACAUGCCACGGAGCAACUAGGCCCGUGAGCCACAACUACUGAGCCUGCGCGUCUGGAGCCUGUGCUCCGCAACAAGAGAGGCCGCGAUAGUGAGAGGCCCGUGCACCGCGAUGAAGAGUGGUCCCCGCUUGCCGCAACUAGAGAAAGCCCUCGUACAGAAACGAAGACCCAAC